rnacentral:rRNA from 1 species
GACGAACGCUGGCGGCGUGCUUAACACAUGCAAGUCGAACGGUGAAGGGAUCAGCUUGCUGGUUCUGGAUGAGUGGCGAACGGGUGAGUAACACGUGAGUAACCUGCCCCCUUCUUCUGGAUAACCGCAUGAAAGUGUGGCUAAUACGGGAUAUUCUGGGUCUGUCGCAUGAUGGGUCUGGGAAAGAUAUUGUUUCGGUGGGGGAUGGGCUCGCGGCCUAUCAGCUUGUUGGUGGGGUGAUGGCCUACCAAGGCGGUGACGGGUAGCCGGCCUGAGAGGGUGGACGGUCACACUGGGACUGAGACACGGCCCAGACUCCUACGGGAGGCAGCAGUGGGGAAUAUUGCACAAGGGGCGCAAGCCUGAUGCAGCGACGCCGCGUGAGGGAUGGAGGCCUUCGGGUUGUAAACCUCUUUCGCCAGUGAAGCAGGCCUGCUCCUUGUGGGUGGGUUGACGGUAGCUGGAUAAGAAGCGCCGGCUAACUACGUG